rnacentral:rRNA from 1 species
UGGGGAAUAUUGCACAAUGGGGGAAACCCUGAUGCAGCGACGCCGCGUGAGCGAAGAAGGUUUUCGAAUCGUAAAGCUCUGUCCUAUGAGAAGAUAAUGACGGUAUCAUAGGAGGAAGCCCCGGCUAAAUACGUGCCAGCAGCCGCGGUAAUACGUAUGGGGCGAGCGUUGUCCGGAAUUAUUGGGCGUAAAGGGUACGUAGGCGGUCUAUUAAGUCAGGUGUGAAAGCGUGAGGCUUAACCUCAUUAAGCACUUGAAACUGAUAGACUUGAGUGAAGGAGAGGAAGGUGGAAUUCCUAGUGUAGCGGUGAAAUGCGUAGAUAUUAGGAGGAAUACCGGUGGCGAAGGCGACUUUCUGGACUUUUACUGACGCUGAGGCGCGAAAGCGUGGGUAGCAAACAGG